AUAAUAAGCUUUAACUUUUGAGUCAUGUAUAAGGAUUGUUGAUAGGAAGAAGUGACUCCUGACGGGGAAGCCAAUUGGGAUCUGUUGACAAGCCGUCAGCUGUUCAUGGUUCUGUUUCUGCUGUAAUAUCACUAAGUUCUCAAGGAUCCUGUAGGAGCUGUUCUCACACCAAGGAGCAUGCACCCCUCAGCCUCCAAAAAUAACUUCUUAGAGAACAUCCAAACAAAUUGAUGCUAAUUGCUAAGAAGCACCAGACAGCUAAAAAAUAGCAAGUAUGAUCUGAAAUCCCUCUGCAUUUAAGUCAAAAACCGAAUCACAAGUGAAAAACAUUAAUCCAGCUAGUGCAAGAAGGAACACAAAUAUGAGAAUUACAUCUGGAACUUCAAAUUUUGCUCAAAAAAAUCAAGCUAUAAAGAGGGAAGAACUUGAAGAGGGGAAAGCUAGACAGGACUUGGGAAGUCUACCAGCAGCUUGUGCACUUCAACUGCUAAAACACGUACAGAAGACAGAAAGUGCGGAGGAAGCCUAAGCUUACACUGACAAGGCCUAAGGAACCUGAACUUGAAACAGCUCAACGUCACCGUCCAACUAAAGAGCUCAGCUGAGUUGGAAGAAGAAAUGAUGGCGAUUCCCAAGUUUUAAGUCUCCCC